GUGGGUUAGAUCAGGUCCGGUCAGGUGAUCAAAAUGGAUAAAGAUCCAGAUGUUCAUCUGCUGCUCUAUGAUAUUUGGAGGGCUCUUGGUCAUUCCAUCGUGACAAUCGUUCGAUACAUCUUUCGAAAGACGAACAGCACUAUGGACUGAGUUACUUCAUUCGUAGCCGACCACAUUAAAAAUUGAAUCUGAUGUCAAGAUGACAAUUAUGAUUUCAAGAGCACUACA
rnacentral:lncRNA from 1 species